rnacentral:rRNA from 1 species
UACGUAGGGUGCAAGCGUUAAUCGGAAUACUGGGCGUAAAGCGUGCGCAGGCGGUUGUGCAAGACAGAUGUGAAAUCCCCGGGCUCAACCUGGGAACUGCAUUUGUGACUGCACGGCUGGAGUGCGGCAGAGGGGGAUGGAAUUCCGCGUGUAGCAGUGAAAUGCGUAGAUAUGCGGAGGAACACCGAUGGCGAAGGCAAUCCCCUGGGCCUGCACUGACGCUCAUGCACGAAAGCGUGGGGAGCAAACAGGAUUGAG